rnacentral:tRNA from 2 species
GCGGGUGUAACUCAGUUGGUAGAGUGCAACCUUGCCAAGGUUGAUGUCGCGAGUUCGAGUCUCGUCACCCGCUCCC